rnacentral:lncRNA from 10 species
CUCCUCCCCAGCAGCCGGCACCCGCCUGGCCCAACAGUGACAGAGCAGGGCGCGCAGCCGCUGAGUGCUCUGGAGUCCCUGCCCCGAGGUGCCACGCCCACGUCGGCCUCACCCGGGCAGGCAUGGGGCGGUCGGGCUUAGCGCCGCACCCCGCCGGCCAGAGCCACCGUCUCUCCAGACGCGGCCCCAGCGCCCACUGGGGAUGGCAAAGACGACAUCCGGUGCGCCGAGGCUGCUCACAAAAUCUUCCCACACAGGUUGAGAGAGGAGGGGAUCCAAUUGCCUGUGAGGAGGACACGGCUCCUGGGUGGACCCUGCAGAUUGUGAAGUUCAAGUCACAGCUCCUGGGAAGGUCUCUGUGUGUAAAGAUCGUGGGGGUGAGACAGAUUCAGGGACCACACUCUGCUCUGCUCUGUACCUCUGAGUGUCGAUCCAGCUGCCUUGUGACCAGGACACUUAGAAGAAGCAUGGACCCUGCAAGAGGAUGGGCUCAAGGACAGCUUGCCUGACUGCAGCCAUAAGGAUGAAGCCUCUUCAGGUAGAGAAGGACUCCAGGUGGGGCCUGUGCAGAGGGUUCUUACGGGCGCAGUAGGAUUGGGGCUAUAAAAUCAGUAAAUGGAAAAGGAGCCAGGUGCAGAAGUCUGAUUUAUUCCUUUUUUUUUUCUUUUUCUUUUUGGAGACAGGGUCUUACUCUGUCACCCAGGCUAGAGUGCAGUCAGUGUGCCACUGUGGCUCAACCUCCGUCUCCUGGGCUCAAUCAAUCGUUCCACCUCAGCCUCCAGAAAGUAGCUGAGAAUACAGGGCUGGGAAAGCAUGUGGGAAAUCAGAGGCCCCUCCCUCGCUGUAGGGAGGAAGUGAUCCAGGCUGUGGAGAGGACUCUAGAGAUGAGCACACUAGAGCCUCUGGGGUUGGCGUCACAGCCCCAGGACAGCGGGGCCCAAAUGGCCCCUCGACUCUAACUCUCCCCUUUCCUUCCCAUGGCUGCCCCAUCACCGCUGCUGCUCUGGACACCCUGAAGGUCAUUUGGCCAAUUUAAUGCCGACAGAAGAGGCCACCAUCUGAAUGUAAUUUAUCUCCUCUUUCAUCUCCUUUCAUUCCCCUCCUCCUUUUUUUUUUUUUUUUGGGACAGAGUCUCACUCUGUUGCCCAGGCUGGAGUGCAGUGGCGUGAUCUUGGCUCACUGCAAGCUCUGCCUCCCAGGUUCACGCCAUUCUCCUGCCUCAGCCUCCUGAGUAGCUGGGACUACAGGCACCCGCCACCACGCCCAGCUAAUUUUUUGUGUUUUUAGUAGAGACGAGGUUUAGCGUGUCUAUGUGACACCCCAGGAUUUUAGCAGAUACACAAGUGAAAAACCAUGUUGCUAAAAAGUAUUUCCCAUCUUCCAAUUUUCUUAUCAUCAUCUUGGAAAUAAAAUCUGUACGUACUUGGGAAUAAAAUUUAUUGAAUUAUCAAAAAUAUGUAUGCUAAUGUAUGUGAGUCAUUAGCUAUAUCCACAUUGACAUAAAAUUUGUGAAGACUCUUCAAAAUCUCUUAAAGAUUUAUUUGGCUGGGCGCGGUGGCUCACGCCUGUAAUCCCAGCAGUUUGGGAGGCUGAGGCAGGCGGAUCAUGAGGUCAGGAGAUGGAGACCAUCCUGGCUAACACGGUGAAACCCCGUCUCUACUAAAAAUACAAAAAACUAGCUGGGCGUGGUGGCGCGCGCCUGUAGUCCCAGCUACUCGGGAGGCUGAGGCAGGAGAAUGGCGUGAACCCGGGAGGCGGAGCUCGGAGUGAGCCGAGAUCACGCCACUGCACUCCAGCCUGGGUGACAGAGCGAGGACUCUGUCUCAAAAAAAGGAAAAAUAAAAACACGAGAACGUACUGCAGGAGAAAACAGGCCUGGCCUGAGACGGCUGUGCCGGCUUUCUGAGGCCGUGAAUGGCAAGACCUCGAGACUGUCAAGAGGAGCAAGAGGAGUCGGGAUUUAGCGUCAGUGAUGAGGUGCGCCACUCACUGUGUGACUUCAGAGUGUUUCUGGGGAAAGAAAAUGAAGUCCUGUGAAGUAUGCGGAGCACCCUCAGCAGCAGCCGUGGAUCUGAACAGCCUCCCAGACACAGACGCCAUGGGUGUGAAGUGUGUCAGGAACAAGCGAAGUCACCCACAAUGGAGAGGAACACCCUAGUGUGCUAGAACUUUUGAACCACUUUUCCUCCUGUCUUGGGUCAGGCCUCAUAGCUAACCCUUUGGUGCGCGGUACUCUCUCUGGCUAUUGGAGAGAUGUGAGAAGCUUAAGAAAAGCAAAUGAGAAGACGUGGAGCAGGCAGAUGGCCGGUCCCCAUGGAAGAGUCCCCAUUGUGAGGCCUCCCUGGGGAUCUGGCGGUGGCCACAACACACUGGCCGGUGAGAUUGGUUGUGAUUGUCAUUGUUGUGGAAAAUGAUUAUCAUCUGUCCUCAAUGGUGCCAAUGCUGACUCACCUGGAGGUGGAAUGAUGGCCAUGGUGACACUGAGGAGGGAGCGUGGCAGAGGGAAUGAUGGCCGUGGUGACACUGAGGAGGGAGCGUGGCAGAGGGAAUGAUGGCCGUGGUGACACUGAGGAGGGAGCGUGGCAGAGGGAACGAUGGCCAUGGCUGACAUUGAGGAAGGAGCUGGCAGAGGGAAUGAUGGCCGUGGUGACACUGAAGAGGGAGCGUGGCAGAGGGAAUGAUGGCCAUGGUGAAACUGAGGAGGGAGCGUGGCAGAGGGAAUGAUGGCCGUGGUGAUAUUGAGGAGGGAGCGUGGCAGAGGGAACGAUGGCCAUGGUGACACUGAGGAGGGAGCGUGGCAGAGGGAACGAUGGCCAUGGUGACACUGAGGAGGGAGCGUGGCAGAGGGAACGAUGGCCAUGGUGACACUGAGGAGGGAGCGUGGCAGAGGGAACGAUGGCCAUGGUGACACUGAGGAGGGAGCGUGGCAGAGGGAACGAUGGCCAUGGCUGACAUUGAGGAGGGAGCUGGCAGAGGGAACGAUGGCCAUGGCUGAC